UCUGGGCUUCUGCUCGGCAUUUGAUGGCCAGGUGAUGAAGGAGCUGCAGAAUCCGGGGCUCUGUCCACGCUUGAGGGCCAAGACGUAGAUAUGUGAUAUCCAUGGAUGCGUCCCUGGACCAAUAACGGUGCGAGCAAGCGGCAUGAGGGCUGAUAAACUGCGCCACUGGUGGGUGUCACUGCCCUCUGAGAGGCUGCUGAAGGAACUCUUGAAGUCCUCCAGCUGAAAAUACAGAAACGUCUGCGCAAGGAACAGCUGGCUGCAGAGGGCACAAUGCCACCACUGAACAAGUUUCACUCCUUUGUCGAGCAGAGGAAGACAAUCGGACGAGGAAAGGUCAGUGAUGGUUCAUCGACUAAUUGAGGGAGGGAUCACAGGUG